ACAAGCGGUGGAGUAUGUGGUUUAAGUUCGAUGCAACGCGAAGAACCUUACCUCGGUCUUGACAUCCCGGAGACCCUUAGGAAACUAGGGGGUGCUUCCAUCUGGAAGAAUCUGGAGACAGGUGCUGCAUGGCUGUCGUCAGCUCGUGUCGUGAGAUGUUGGGUUAAGUCCCGCAACGAGCGCAACCCUUGCCUUUAGUUGCCAGCAGUUCGGCUGGGCACUCUAAAGGGACUGCCGGUGUUAAACCGGAGGAAGGUGGGGAUGACGUCAAGUCCUCAUGGCCUUUAUGACCAGGGCUACACACGUACUACAAUGGCCGAUACAAAGGGCAGCGACACUGCGAGGUGAAGCCAAUCCCGUAAAAUCGGUCUCAGUCCGGAUUGGAGUCUGCAACUCGACUCCAUGAAGUUGGAAUCGCUAGUAAUCGUGGAUCAGCAUGCCACGGUGAAUACGUUCCCGGGCCUU
rnacentral:rRNA from 1 species